UUUAUGGAGAGUUUGAUCCUGGCUCAGGAUGAACGCUGGCGGCGUGCCUAAUACAUGCAAGUCGAGCGAACGGACGAGAAGCUUGCUUCUCUGAUGUUAGCGGCGGACGGGUGAGUAACACGUGGAUAACCUACCUAUAAGACUGGGAUAACUUCGGGAAACCGGAGCUAAUACCGGAUAAUAUUUUGAACCGCAUGGUUCAAAAGUGAAAGACGGUCUUGCUGUCACUUAUAGAUGGAUCCGCGCUGCAUUAGCUAGUUGGUAAGGUAACGGCUUACCAAGGCAACGAUGCAUAGCCGACCUGAGAGGGUGAUCGGCCACACUGGAACUGAGACACGGUCCAGACUCCUACGGGAGGCAGCAGUAGGGAAUCUUCCGCAAUGGGCGAAAGCCUGACGGAGCAACGCCGCGUGAGUGAUGAAGGUCUUCGGAUCGUAAAACUCUGUUAUUAGGGAAGAACAUAUGUGUAAGUAACUGUGCACAUCUUGACGGUACCUAAUCAGAAAGCCACGGCUAACUACGUGCCAGCAGCCGCGGUAAUACGUAGGUGGCAAGCGUUAUCCGGAAUUAUUGGGCGUAAAGCGCGCGUAGGCGGUUUUUUAAGUCUGAUGUGAAAGCCCACGGCUCAACCGUGGAGGGUCAUUGGAAACUGGAAAACUUGAGUGCAGAAGAGGAAAGUGGAAUUCCAUGUGUAGCGGUGAAAUGCGCAGAGAUAUGGAGGAACACCAGUGGCGAAGGCGACUUUCUGGUCUGUAACUGACGCUGAUGUGCGAAAGCGUGGGGAUCAAACAGGAUUAGAUACCCUGGUAGUCCACGCCGUAAACGAUGAGUGCUAAGUGUUAGGGGGUUUCCGCCCCUUAGUGCUGCAGCUAACGCAUUAAGCACUCCGCCUGGGGAGUACGACCGCAAGGUUGAAACUCAAAGGAAUUGACGGGGACCCGCACAAGCGGUGGAGCAUGUGGUUUAAUUCGAAGCAACGCGAAGAACCUUACCAAAUCUUGACAUCCUUUGACAACUCUAGAGAUAGAGCCUUCCCCUUCGGGGGACAAAGUGACAGGUGGUGCAUGGUUGUCGUCAGCUCGUGUCGUGAGAUGUUGGGUUAAGUCCCGCAACGAGCGCAACCCUUAAGCUUAGUUGCCAUCAUUAAGUUGGGCACUCUAAGUUGACUGCCGGUGACAAACCGGAGGAAGGUGGGGAUGACGUCAAAUCAUCAUGCCCCUUAUGAUUUGGGCUACACACGUGCUACAAUGGACAAUACAAAGGGCAGCGAAACCGCGAGGUCAAGCAAAUCCCAUAAAGUUGUUCUCAGUUCGGAUUGUAGUCUGCAACUCGACUACAUGAAGCUGGAAUCGCUAGUAAUCGUAGAUCAGCAUGCUACGGUGAAUACGUUCCCGGGUCUUGUACACACCGCCCGUCACACCACGAGAGUUUGUAACACCCGAAGCCGGUGGAGUAACCUUUUAGGAGCUAGCCGUCGAAGGUGGGACAAAUGAUUGGGGUGAAGUCGUAACAAGGUAGCCGUAUCGGAAGAUGCGGCUGGAUCACCUCCUUU
rnacentral:rRNA from 1 species